rnacentral:rRNA from 1 species
AUUGAACGCUGGCGGCAGGCUUAACACAUGCAAGUCGAGCGAGCGGCGGACGGGUGAGUAAUGUUUGGGAAACUGCCUGAUGGAGGGGGAUAACUACUGGAAACGGUAGCUAAUACCGCAUACCAUCAGAUGUGCCCAGAUGGGAUUAGCGAGUAGGUGGGGUAAUGGCUCACCUAGGCGACGAUCCCUAGCUGGUCUGAGAGGAUGACCAGCCACCCUGGAACUGAGACACGGUCCUGACUCCUACGGGAGGCCGCAGUGGGAAGUAUUGCACAAUGAGCGCAAGCCUGAUGCAGCCAUGCCGCGUGUAGGAGGAAGACCUUCGGGUUGUAAAGUACUUGCAGCGGGGAGGCGUUACCCGAAGAGGAAGCACCGGCUAACUCCGUGCCAGCAGCCGCGGUAAUUC